CCUACGGGAGGCAGCAGUGAGGAAUAUUGGUCAAUGGGCGCUAGCCUGAACCAGCCAAGUAGCGUGAAGGAUGACUGCCCUGUGGGUUGUAAACUUCUUUUAUAUGGGAAUAAAGUGCAGUAUGUAUACUGCUUUGCAUGUACCUUAUGAAUAAGGAUCGGCUAACUCCGUGCCAGCAGCCGCGGUAAUACGGAGGAUGCGAGCGUUAUCCGGAUUUAUUGGGUUUAAAGGGAGCGAAGGCGGGUUGUUAAAUCAGUUGUGAAAGUUUGGGGCUCAACCGGAGAAUUGCAGUUGAUACUGGCAUCCUUGAGUACAGGAGAGGUAGGCGGAAUUCGUGGUGUAGCGGUGAAAUGCUUAGAUAUCACGAAGAACUCCGAUUGCGAAGGCAGCUUACUAACCUGCCACUGACAUUGAUGCUCGAAAGUGUGGGUAUCAAACAGGAUUAGAUACCCUUGUAGUC
rnacentral:rRNA from 1 species